UCAAUGUGUGUGCUCGUUGUUGAUCCGUGCGUGCUAAUCCAAUCCUUCCGUUUGUAGAGGGGUGGUUGGGGUUUCUGUAGGGGCGAGGAGAAGGUCCGCGAAGCGCACAUGACCUCGAGCCAGUCGCCGCCGCCACCUCUCCUCUACCUCUCUCCUCUCCUGAGCCCUUGAUGACCUCAAGCCAGUUGCCAGCCAUCUCCAUGGUCCUCAUGUCUGUUUUCUCCAGCGCGCCCUCAAGGCCGGAUGAUGCAGAGAUGUGCGAAGGAUCCAGAUGGUUGUCGUCGUCUUCUGUGUAUGAUGGACCCUCGGCGGCGCGAUGCCUGUCCGGCGUCACCAAUCAGAGAAGCUAGACUGAAGCAGAGGCAGACAGCAGCCUGAAGUUGUGAACCAGAAAGUUCGAGUGCUAGAUAAGUGCCCCCUAUCUUCCUCUUUCCUCGAGGUAAGUUUCCAUGUAUCCAUCCCUCCAAUGCGAAUCUCACUGUUUGAGCAUUGCUCUUCCUGAUUGAUGUCUUCCAUGUAUUCAUCCCAGUUCAUUUAGUAUUUCUCGGCAAACUAAUGGCUCAUAGGAAUGGUAACUCAGUGCGAUUUUUAGGUAAAUCAUGUUACUGUAUCAUGGUUGUUAUAUCUUAGUAAAAAACGAACAAAUAUAUCAUGAUUUAUACUGUGCGGGUGCUCACAAUAUCCUUCUUUUCAUAGCCGUCUUACAAAUAAAACGUGAAUCUCUGAUUUGUCAAAUGGUUCUUGAUGAAAAUAUAGAAAUGAUGAUAAUACAAAAAGAAUACACGGUUGCCAUUGUGUGUGAGUGAAUCUACAUAUUUAUUCCUAAUGUUCAACUUACUGGCACUGAUGCUAUGUUGUAUAUCUCUUAGUCAAACUAUGAAACUAUGAUUUGUCAAACUCUGUUUGCGAGUAUUUGUUCUUUCAAGUGAGUUUUUAAUGGCUUUCACUUUUUUCUCAUUCAUGCCUUGAAAAUAAUGGUUUAAGCAAUUUUAGAUUAGAUUGUUCUGAUUGCGGUCGUUCUGGUGAGUGAUAUUGCAACAAUUUUACAUACUACCUCAGUUUCUGAAAUAGUGGAUGCUCGUUUGAUUUGUGUUACUUUAUUUCAAGGUGUCUGCUCUUUUGCGCAUAGUUAGAAAGGUCAACAUAAGGAUUAAUCAGAGGUACGCAUCAUUAUGUAAAACUUAUCUACUUUGCAUCAUGAAUUGAUCAAAGGAUACAAAAUUAGCAUUCUGCUUUACGAACACUAGCUGGCAAGUGAUCCAUACUGUUUCAGCACGCCGAGACUUAGUUUUGUGGCAAUACCGUCUGAUGGUUUAAAUUGAUGGCUUUGCAAGGUGGCAAGGUGAUUGUAUGAACAAACAACUUCUUGAGUCAAUGAACUUUAUUAGAGGGAUACCAUUGUUAUUCUGUUAAGGUGGUCGUAUGGACAAACAAAUUCUUGAGUCGAUGAACUUUAUUAGAGGGAUACCAUUGUUAUUCUGUUAAGGUAAUGAAGACAAUACACGUGUAUUUGAUAGACACAAGUACGGACGGUUAUACAUGGAAUACACUUUCAACAUUACAGUUCAACAUUCUAGAAGAAGGAAUUACUACUCUACUCCAAUCUGAGUGUGGUAUGAGCUCAUCUCUUGACAUGUUUGUGUGACCUGCGGUGUUUACCUGUGUCUUGCUUGUUUUGACCAUUGCUUAUUAUUCCUGAUUGUCUUUGAUGGGUGAGUUUCAGCUACAUACAAAGCAUCGCACACUCAGAAUUUGAGUGGUGCUAAUAGAACUCUUGAGAACACGAUCUGGCGCUUUUGAGAAUCAAAGCAUUGAAAUUUUUGUUUAAAUGCAUGGACGGUUAUACAUUGAAAUUCAUGUCUGGCCCUUGUCCAGAUGGAGGACUUGGCUUCUUUAGUGAGGAUGAUACAAUACUAAACUACGAUUAAACAGAGUGUGACGUAAGCUUCUUGUUACCUUAUGUGGGUACUUCUAAGUAAAAUUUUCCUUUUGGUGCUUCAAAACCAACCGAUCUUCUACUUGUACAGCCAUUUUUAUUUAUUUUUCUUGAGCUUCUACUAUUACUUCUCAUUUAUUUCUUAAUGCAGCUUCAUUCAGAUUUAAGUGCGCUACUGCUAGUCAUCUCUUGCGACUGCGUGCAGCUUGCUUCUGACAGAGCCAAGUCAUGCCCUCAUGAGGUUCCGUUCUUCAGCCAAACUGAAUUUUAAGUGUGCCUUUUGCAUUUUGCUCGUUCAGGUGUCGGAUUUCCCAGCUCAGUUGUAAGGAGAACGCUCCUGUGCUUGGCGCUGAGAGUUACCAAACUUCCUGAAGAUGUGAAGAAACAAUCCGAAGACCCAGAUAGCAGAGUAUGGCAUGGGCGGUAAAAUCUCAACCAAAGGCGGUCGAUCAUAUCUCUAACUUGCAAGAAUACAAGAACUUUAUGCCGAAGGAUAUAUGUGCUCUCCGACUCUUUAAAUUUGGCAUUUUAUGCUCUGUAGAAUCACCAAAAGAAAUACACAUGCAUGAAACUUCUAUGCUUGCUCUACUUAAUCAA